GAUGAAGAACGCAGCGAAAUGCGAUACGUAGUGUGAAUUGCAGAAUUCAGUAAAUCAUCGAAUCUUUGAACGCACAUUGCACCUCUCGGUAUUCCGGGAGGUAUGCCUGUUCGAGCGUCAUUUGUACCCUCAAGCUCUGCUUGGUGUUGGGUGUUUGUUCCGCCUCUGUGUGUGAACUCGCCUCAAAACAAUUGGCAGCCGGCGUACUUGUUUCGGAGCGCAGCACAUUUUGCGAUCCAGAUCAACGUACAGCGGCAUCCAAGAAGCCUUAUUUAACGCUCUUGACCUCGGAUCAGGUAGGGAUACCCGCUGAACUUAAGCAUAUCAAUAAGCGGAGGA
rnacentral:misc_RNA from 1 species